AACGAACGCAGGCGGCAGGCUUAACACAUGCAAGUCGAACGCCCCGCAAGGGGAGUGGCAGACGGGUGAGUAACGCGUGGGAAUCUACCGUGCCCUGCGGAAUAGCUCCGGGAAACUGGAAUUAAUACCGCAUACGCCCUACGGGGGAAAGAUUUAUCGGGGUAUGAUGAGCCCGCGUUGGAUUAGCUAGUUGGUGGGGU
rnacentral:rRNA from 1 species